GGAGGGAUGGCCGAGUGGACGAAGGCGCCUGUCUUGAAAACAGGUUGAGUGCAAGCUCACGUGGGUUCGAAUCCCACUCCCUCCG
rnacentral:tRNA from 1 species